CAGAAAUCCAAGUCUAGAGACUUCAAAUCUGGUAGUUUUCCUUUUGAGAUCAGAACUUUCAUCCCUUUCUCGCUCAUAUAUCCAAGUCUACGAUGCCAAGUACUUGCCUCGACUUCUGAUGAUGUGAUGGCAAUGGAACUAUGAGUACCAAAAGUAACAUAGAGAGUACCUUCCUUUUUGUCACAAGCUACCACCAUAGCUCCUUUGGUCAUCUUUCAAGUUUUCCCAACGAAUGUGGUUGUAAUACCGGAGUCAGUAAGUUGACCUACUGAAAUUAGAUUCUUUUGCAAACAUGGCACAUGUCUGACAUCCUUGAUUCGUAGGACGGUUCCAUUAGGUUGAUUUAUUUGAACAUCACCUUUGCUAACUAUGUUGCAAAUCUCAUCAUUUCUAAGAUACAUUUUGCCAAGGUUGCCUAGUACAUAGUUAUGGAGCAUUUCCUUGCGCGAAGUAGCAUAGAACGACACACCCGUAUCAAUUACCCAUGUUUCUCCAUGAGCAUCCACAGCUAAUAACAAUGCAUCAGAAUUUUCACCAUCCGAAACAUUAACAAAUUUUUGUCUCCUUAGUUAUUUUCUUGCUUAUUUAGUGCUUUGCAAUCUUGCUUUGUGUGACCGAAUUUUCCACAGUUCCAACACUUGCCUUUGGACUUUGGUGGAGAUAGUGAUCGACCAUUUCUUGACCGGCUUGUGUUUCGCCUGUGGUUACGGCCUCUAUUCGGCUUUCUAUCUCUAUCUUCAGUUGCUAACGCCGAACCCAAGGUUUCUCCACCAUCUUUUCUACGAGUAUCUUUGCUAAGAACCAAAUCUACAACAUGAUUUGGUUUUAACUCUGUC
rnacentral:lncRNA from 1 species